GACGUAGGGGGCAAGCGUUGUCCGGAAUUAUUGGGCGUAAAGCGCUCGUAGGCGGAUCGGUAAGUCUGUGAAGAAAGACCCGGGCUCAACUCGGGGAACGGCAUAGAUACUGCUGAUCUUGAGACAGUCAGAGGAUGAUGGAAUUCCCGGUGUAGCAGUGAAAUGCGUAGAUAUCGGGAGGAACACCAGUGGCGAAGGCGGCCUUCUGGACCAGUACUGACGCUCAUGCACGAAAGCGUGGGGAGCAAACAGG
rnacentral:rRNA from 1 species